rnacentral:rRNA from 1 species
AGCACAAGGAGCAAUCUGAGGUGGCGACCGGCGCACGGGUGAGUAACACGUAUGCAACCUGCCUGUAAGCGGGGAAUAACCCGUUGAAAGACGGACUAAUACCGCAUAAUACUAAAUUACUGCAUGGUAAUUUAUUUAAACAUUUAUGGCUUACAGAUGGGCAUGCGCAUGAUUAGCUAGUUGGAGAGGUAACGGCUCCCCAAGGCAACGAUCAUUAGGGGUUCUGAGAGGAAGGUCCCCCCACACUGGUACUGAGACACGGACCAGACUCCUACGGGAGGCAGCAGUGAGGAAUAUUGGUCAAUGGACGAGAGUCUGAACCAGCCAAGUCGCGUGCAGGAAGAAUUGUCCUAUGGAUUGUAAACUGCUUUUGCAGGGGAAUAAAGUGCAUCACGUGUGAUGUUUUGUAUGUACUCUGCGAAUAAGGAUCGGCUAACUCCGUGCCAGCCGCCGC